CCAACAUAGCUGCACUUACAACCUCUAUAACUUCAUUCUUAUUAGCAGCAACAGACGCGUUUGAUUGAAUGAAGAUCAGACUGUUGAUUCUCUACUCUAUCAUCUUGGCUACUGUUACAGGAGAAGACACGUUUCCUUCUUUUCUUUACGUCGAGUCUGUCUGGAAUAGUUGAGUUAAGCUUCAUCGUCUCUGGAGAGCUUCGAAACGACACUCUUGGACUGAAGUCAGUAUACUCCAGCGAUCAUCCUCUCCCCUCCACUCACUGUCCAUACAUACCCACAUGUAUGUAGGUGAUGGCCAGCUG